UUUGAUCCAAAUACUGCAUUAGCAAUGGUAAUCGCUCCAGGAUUCUGGCUGCUAAGUGCAGCGAUGGCAACUGCUGGCUUAUCAUAGCUUGGAUUGAACUGGAAGUGAAUGAGACCUUGUGGGAACACGAAGACAUCACCCUUGUUAAGUGUCUUGGUGAAUAGCUUGUUUUCUCCGUUUGCUUGGUUCGAUGUAACAAAACCAACAUAGAGUGUACCCUCAAAAACCGUUAGGAUCUCGGUAGCACGGGGAUGCGUGUGUGGUGGGUUUUGCCCUUUAGGAGCAUAGUCGAUCCUUGCCAUGGAGAUGCCAAGGGUGUUGAGACCUGUGAGUUUCAUCACGUUGAUCAAUGUAACAUUGGAUCCAGCCUUGCUCUUGGUUGUGUCCAUCGGCUUGUCGAGGUUAGCUUCUAGGAAGAAGUCAUCAACAUUCACAUCCUUAGCAUCCUUGCAGGGGAACCCAUUGACACGUACUGCAUUGAAGAACAUACAAAGGUCAGAUCAAAAGCUAGAAACAUAUAUAUGUACAACAUGAAUGUCUCGGAUCAUUGUUAAUCUGAUGUAACCGCAUGAUCAGUGAAGAAGUACACUACCUGGAGAGUUCCUGUCGGCAACGCAGAAGUCCUGAAGAGGACUGGGAUCAAAAGCCAUGGCCUGAGUAGCGACCAAAGCGAUGAGAGCUGUGGGAAGAAAGAAGUUGGAGGAGGCCAUGUUAAGUUGAUGGAACUUUUGCUUGUGUACAAGUAGUGGUCGAUGAUUCUUGUAUAGCUAUAGUUGAUGCUUUGCCCAUGGAAAUGAUGCAUCCAUAUAUAUAGGCCUCUGAGCAUGAGAUGAUUUUGAAGUGGUCAAUAACAAAAGGCUGAGCUAGCUUGUGACUGGUUCAUCUCCUCUAAAGUCUGAACUGAUCUUGAACUCUUAAUAGAUUGCAUCUGGGAAAGAAACUAUUUAAUUUGAUGGAUUCAAUCUAUCUUAAUUCCCAGUCAACAGCUAGGUUGGCCGACUAAUUAAUUAAUUAGAUUAUUCCAGUGCCUGUCAUGCAUGAUGCAUGCAUUAGAUUUAUUAUGUCUUGCCUGGCUCUGUUAUCAGGUGCAGAGAAACAUAUUAUGAUAAAGAUAGGGAGAUGAAUUUUAUCUCUCAAGAAGAUUUUAAAAAAAUGAUAAGACAAUUAAAUUAAAUUAAAAUAUAUCCCUUUACAAACAUACAAGUUUGAUACGACACCUAUAAGUUGUAAAAAAAUAACCGUGAAUGUACGUUAACUAUUACUAAGAACCGAGUAGAUUGACCAUGUCUUCUCUAUCCAUGUAAAAUAUACUUGGUCCCUUUCGUCUCUGCAUAUUCAGGCAUCCAUGUGUGUUACGGGAAUAUAACGUCUGAAUGUCUGAUUAAUUAGUCAAGAGCUAGCACACAUGCUAAUUAAAAGGGAAGUUGAUAAUGUCAGUAUUGCAGUUAAUUGCUGAAUAUAUCAACACGCUCUCUGUUGCCUACAGCUGCCGAGACAGUUUCAAGCUAAUAACUAAUGGUACUUUGGUUAAUUCAGUUGAAAGCUCAACAGAUCAAUUACAUCAUCAAUUACAUCGGCCGCCGGCUCUUCAUUCUCCUGGCCAGAUGCAUAUGGAUAGCUAGGAGAGGAGUUAAAACAAAUACUAGCUUCCAAUAUGGCUGUGUUUGGCAAAUAGGAUUGAGAAAUAAUAUCCCACCCUCCAAAAGGCAACAUUGCAUCUUAGCCAUCCAUUCUUCACACUUUAUUUAAUCCUAGCCAUUCAUCUAUUUCCAUUUCCCAAUCCGACCUCCCAUAUCCUAUUUGCUAAACAUACCCUAUAUGGAAAUAUUUAUCUUUUUAGCGCUUCUUAUAUUAUACUUCCUGUGUCUCCAGGAGUGUGUUUUGUAUAUAAAAAAAGGGAUUAUAAAAAAAAAGUACCACAAUUUUUUUAAGUAAAAAACUUUCAAAUAUAAUUGUAGUAUAGUUGUAAUUUAAUUCUACAAUAAUUAUACUAUAACUACAAUGUGACUUGUAAGGAUUAAAAAAUAUGCAACUUUAUAGCUAAGUUAUAUCAAGAUUAGAAUGUAAGCAUAUUGUAAGUACAAUGUAGUUACAAUGUAACUAUAGUGUAAUUAUAUUAUAGUUAUACUACAACUAUGCCAUAGUUAUAUUUGAAAGCUUUUACCAAAAAAAAAUUGCGACAGUUUUUUUUUAGCAAUUUCCAAAAUAUAGAUUUAGUGAAAACACUUCAAGCCGGGCGUUGGAUCUGGGAGAAAAAACCGGCUCCCCGCCAAUCAUUCCCAUCCACUCAUUCAAGUAUUUCUCUCUCCCUUGUCUCGCUCGCAUCUCUCUCCCUUAUCGCGCACUCGCUUACUCUACUAUCUCUCUCUCUCUCUCUCUCUGUGUGUGUGUGUGUCUCCCACCGAGGCUUUGAUGCAGCGAUGACGCGUCCCCAUAAGGGCAGCUAGCGCCGAUGGCAACGGGAGGAUCAACUACAACGACGACAACGAGGAGGAGAGCAACCCAUCGUGGCAAAGCAGCAGAUGGAGCAAGUGGUGGUCACGCCAUCGUAGCUGACAACAAGUCAAGGUCAUUUAUGGAAAGAAUCACCGGGUCAUCACAUUGCAGCGUUUGAGGUUGUCGAAGAAAGCCCGAUCCAACCAUUAGAGGGGAGGAGGAAGUCAUAUAUAGCCAAUACAUUUUUUUUAAUGUUUAAAAUUUCUAAUGUUUAAGCCAAUGUUUUUUUUAUGUUUCUUUUUGUUAGAUUGUAAUGUUGUACUAGGAAUUUUAAUGUUGUUUCAUAUUUUUGUCUUCAGUUCAUUGUAAUGUCGUUUCAUGUCCGAUCGAUUAGGUCACCAACUCCGUUGUUGGCCAAAUGAGAUUCAGGAUCAGAUGGUCUUUAAGGGGUUCUUUAGGACGUGCGUGGUAAUUGUAAAGUGUGAAAUUCCUACAUUCAAAGGAGUAAUAAACUCUUGAGUCUUGAGCAAAUCGUAGGUUUGAAAGUAAGACACUACAGGUUGAUUAUUGGAGUUAUUGAAUGGUUCACACCUAUAAACCGUUUACUAGUUAUUGAACAGUUCACAUCUAUAAACCGCCCACUAAGCUAGCCAAGCAAUAAAAAGUCAACCAAAAUUUCAUUUCUUACAUAAUUUGUUUAGAUUUUGUUGGUUUUUAAAGUAAUUAAUGGUCAUGUAUAAAGGAAUUUAGUUCGCAUGUACAAACAUUUUUGUUAUCUUUCUCAAGCAUGUAGGGAUAAUUGAGAAAGAAUAGAUUAAUUUGGAUGAGUGCUAUGAGCUUGUGAACAACAUAAGAAAUAUAAGUACUGAACUAGCUAGGGCAAUGCUUCCCCAGUAAUAUGAUUUUAAUUAUCCAUCUUUAUGAGUGUUAAAAAAGUACCCAAGAAAUCAACGAUAUUAAAUUAAUACCCCAGAUCAUACAUCAUGUGACAAAUAUAUAUGUGUACUGAUAUACAUUAUUCAUAAAAAGAAUCAUAUAAAAUAUCGAGUUUAGGAUUACAUGAAGUAUACAAUAUUUAGCUAAUAUAAUAAUCAACAAACUCUUUUUACUACCAAUCACUAGUUUUGAACCUUAUCAAGCAUCAAUAAUUUAGUUAUGGUUGUUCUCCCAGAACUGAGCUUGGAGCCAAUCCACAGCUUUCUUGUCCACCUGAAAUGCCUUAGCAAGAACGUCAUCCGAGAUUGGUGAAUUUGAUCCAAAUACUGCAUUAGCAAUGGUAAUCGCUCCAGGGUUCUGGCUGCUAAGUGCAGCGAUGGCAACUGCUGGCUUAUCAUAGCUUGGAUUGAACUGGAAGUGAAUGAGACCUUGUGGGAACACGAAGACAUCACCCUUGUUAAGUGUCUUGGUGAAGAGCUUGUUUUCUCCGUUUGCUUGGUUCGAUGUAACAAAACCAACAUAGAGUGUACCCUCAAGAACAGUUAGGAUCUCGGUAGCACGGGGAUGCGUGUGUGGUGGGUUUUGCCCUUUAGGAGCAUAGUCGAUCCUUGCCAUGGAGAUGCCAAGGGUGUUGAGACCUGCGAGUUUCAUCACAUUGAUCAAUGUAACAUUGGAUCCAGCCUUGCUCUUGGUUGUGUCCAUCGGCUUGUCGAGGUUAGCUGCUAGGAAGAAGUCAUCAACAUUCACAUCUUUAGCAUCCUUGCAAGGGAACCCAUUGACAUGUACUACAUUGAAGAACAUACAAAGGUCAGAUCGAAAGCUAGAAACAUAUAUAUGUACAACAUGAAUAUCUCAUAUCAUUGUUAAUCUGAUGUAACUGCAUGAUCAGUGAAGAAGUACACUACCUGGAGAGUUCCUGUCGGCAACGCAGAAGUCCUGAAGAGGACUGGGAUCAGAAGCCAUGGCCUGAGUAGCGACCAAAGCGAUGAGAGCUGUGAGAAGAAAGAAGUUCGAGGAGGCCAUGUUAAGUUGAUGGAACUUUUGCUUGUGUACAAGUAGUGGUCGAUGCUUCUUGUAUAGCUGUAGUCUAUGCUUUUGUCCAUGGAAGCAUCCAUAUAUAUAGGCCUCUGAGCAUGAAAUGAUUCUGAAGUGGUCAAUAAGAAAAGGAUGAGCUAGCUAGUGACUUGUUCAUCUCCUCAGAAGUCUGAACUGGUCUUGAACUCUUAAUGAUUGCAUCUGGGAAAGAAACUAUUUAAUUUGAUGGAUUCAAGCUAUCUUAAUUCCCAGUCAACAGCUAGGUUGGCCGACUAAUUAAUUAAUUAGAUUAUUCCAGUGCCUGUCAUGCAUGAUGCAUGCAUUAGAUUGAUGAUGUCUUGGCUGUCUUUGUUAUCAGGUGAAUAGAAACACAGAGCACUUUACUACCAUUUUCAACCUUACCAAGUUUUAGCAUUGCUAAAUUUUGGUAUGUUUGCUAAAAUUUUAACAAGGUUGCUAAAUUUUGGCAAGAUUUUAUAUGUGCUUACUAAAAAUUUAGCAACAAACUAAACGUAGUUAAAAUUUUAGCAACUUUAUCAGAAAAUGGCAUCAAAGUGAACAGGCUCAUAUUAUGAUAAAGAUAGGGAGAUGGAUUUUUAUCUCUCAAGAAGAUUUAAAAAAAUGAUAAGAUAAUUAAAUUAAAUUAAAAUAUAUCUCUUUACAAAUAUACAAUACAAGUUUAAUAUGACAUUCAAGUUGUAACAAAAAUAACCGUGAAUGUACGUUAACGAGUAGAUUGACCAUGUCUUCUCUAUCCAUGUAAAGUAUACUUGGUCCCUUUCGUCUCCGCAUAUUCAGGCAUCCAUGUGUGUUAUGGCAAUAUAACGUCUGAAUGUCUGAUUAAUUAGUCAAGAGCUAGCACCCAUGCUAAUUAAAAGGGAAGUUGAUAAUGUCAGUAUUGCAGUUAAUUGCUGAAUAUAUCAACACGCUCUCUGUUGCCUGCAGCUGCCGAGACAGUUUCAAGCUAAUAACUAUUGGUAGUUUGGUUAAUUCAGUUCAAAGCUCACCAGAUCAAUUACAUCAUCAAUUACAUCGGCCGGCGGCUCUUCAUUCCCCUGGCCAGCUGCAUAUGGAUAGCUAGGAGAGGAGUUAAAACAAAUACUAGCUUCCAAUAUAUAGAAAUAUUUAUCUUUUUAGCGCUUGUUAUAUUAUCCUUCCUCUAUCUUCAGGAGUGUGUUUUGCAUAAAAAAGGGAUUAUCUAAAAAAAGGUACCACAAUUUUUUAAAGUGAAAAACUCUCAAAUAUAACUGCAGUAUAGUUGUACUAUAAUUCUACAAUAAUUAUACUAUAACUACAAUGUAACUUGUAAAGAUUAAAAAAAUAUGCAACUUUACAGCUAAGUUAUAUAGAGAUUAGAAUGUAGGUAUAUUGUAAUUACAAUGUAGUUACAAUGUAAGUAUAGUGUAAUUAUAUUAUAGUUACUACAACUAUACCAUAGUUAUAUUUGAAAGCAUUUACCAAAAUGAAAUUGUGAUUAGUUUUUUUAGCAAUUUCCCAAAAAAGUAUAAAAAAGUAUAGUUCUAGUGAAAACGCUCCAAGCUGGGCACUGGAUCUAGGAGAAAAAAACCGGCUUCCUGCCAAUCAUUCCCAUCCACUCAUUCAAUCAUUUCUCUCUCCCUUGUCUCACUCACAUCUCUCCCCCUUAUCGCGCACUUGAUUACUCUACUCUCUCUCUCUCUGUGUGUCUGUCUCUAUCUCCCACCAAGGCUUUGAUGUGGCGAUGAUGACAUGUCACCAUAAGGGUAGCCGAUGCCGAUGGCAACGGGAGGACAACUACAACGACGACAGCGAGGAGGAGGGAAACCUAUCGUAGAGAAGCAGCGGACGGAGCAAGUGGUGGUCAUGCCAUCGCAGUUGACAACAAGGAAGUCAAGGUCAUUUAUAGAAAGAAUCACCGGGUCAUCACAUUGCAGCGUUUGAGGUUGUCGAAGAAAGCCCGAUCCAACCAUUGGAGGGGAGGAGGAAGUCAGAUAUAGCCGAUACAGUUUUUUUAAUGUUUAAAAUUUCUAAUGUUUAAGCCAAUGUUUUUCAUGUUUCUUUUUGUUAGAUUGUAAUGUUGUACUAGGCAUUUUAAUGUUGUUUCAUAUUUUUGUCUUCAGUUCAUUGUAAUGUUGUUUCAUGUACGAUCGAUUAGGUCACCAACUCCAUUGUUGGCCAAAUGAGAUUUAGGAUCAGAUGGCCUUCAAGGGGUUCUUUAGAACGUGCGUGGUAAUUGUGAAGUAUACUCGUAAGAAUUGAACGAUUUUUUUGUGAAAAUCUUAUGAAAUUACUACAUUCAAAAGAGUAAUAAACUCUUGAGUCUCGAGUGGUGUGUAUCGUCACCUCUACUGAAUCGUAGAUUUGAAAGUAAGACACUACAUGUUGAUUAUUAGAGUUAUUGAACGGUUCACACCUAUAAACCAUUCACUAGUUAUUAAACAAUUCACACCUAUAAACCGCUCACUAAACUAGCGAAGUAAUAAAAAAUCAAACAAAAUUUCAUUUCUUACAUAAUUUGUUUAUAUUAUAUUGGUUUUUAAAGUAAUUAAUGCAUGGUUAUAUAUAAAGGAAUUUAGUUCGCAUGUACAAACAUUUUUUUUAUGUUUCUCAAGCAUGAUAACUACAAGAAUUGAAAAAGAAGAGACUAAUUUGGAUGCUUGUUACGAUCUUGUGAGCAACACAACAAAUAUAAGUACUGAACGAGGGCAAUACAUCCCUAGUAAUAUGAUUUUAAUUAUGUAUCAUUCAGUGUUAAAAAGGUACCAAGAAAUCAAAUAUAUUAAAUUAAUAUCCCAGAUCAUACAUCACGUAACAUAUGUAUAUGUGCGUAGUGGUAUACAUUAUUUCGUAAAAAGAAUCAAAUAACAUAUUUUUAGGAUAACAUGAAGUAUACAAUUUUUAGCUACUAACAAUCAACAAACCAUUUUACUACAGAUAACUAAUUUUCAACAGAUAAGCAUCAAUAAUUUAAUUUAGUUAUGGUUAUUCUCCCAAAAUUGAGCUUGUAGCCAAUCCACUGCCUUUUUGUCCACUUGAAAUGCCUUAGCAAGAACAUCAUCCGAGAUUGGUGGAUUUGAUCCAAAUACUGCAUUAGCAAUGGUAAUCGCCCCAGGGUUUUGGCUACUAAGUGCAACGAUAGCAGCUGCCGGCUUAUCAUAACUUGGAUUGAACUGGAAGUGAAUGAGACCCUCUGGGAACACAAAGACAUCUCCUUUGUUGAGUGUCUUGGUGAAGAGCUUGUUUUCUCCGUUUGCUUGGUUAGAUGUAACAAAUCCAACAUAAAGUGAGCCCUCAAUUACACUUAGGAUCUCAGUGGCACGAGGGUGUGUGUGGGGUGGGUUUUGUCCUUUAGGAGCAUAGUCGAUCCUCGCCAUGGAGAUACCAAGGGUGUUGAGACCUGCAAGUUUCAUCACAUUGAUUAAGGUAACGUUGGAUCCAGCCUUGCUCUUGGUUAUGUCCAUCGGCUUGUCGAGGUUAGCUGCUAGGAAGAAGUCAUCGACACUCACAUCCUUAGCAUCCUUGCAAGGGAACCCAUUGACACGCACUGCAUAUUGAAAAACAUAUAUGGGUCAGAAACCUAGAAACUUAUAUAUACACAUUACGGAUGUUUGAGAUAAUCAUCAAUUUGAUGCAAUUGGAUGAUCGAUGACGAAAAACUAUACCUGGUGAGUUCUUGUCGGCAACACAGAGGUCCUGAAGAGGACUAGGAUCAGAAGCCAUGGCCUGAGUAGUGACCAAAGCGAUGAGAGGUAUGAGAAGAAAAAAGUUGGAGGAGGCCAUGUUUAAGUUGAUGGAACUGUUGCUUCUGCAGAAGUAUUACUCGAUGCUAGCUUGUUGUGUAUAUGGAGCUACAGCUAGCUGAUGGUUUUUGGCCAGGAAAGGAUGCAUCCAUAUAUAUAGGCCUCUGAGAAUGAGGUGAUUCUGAAGUGGUCAAUAAGAAAAAUAAAAAAAGGCUGAACUAACGACUUGUUCAUCUGCUCUAAAGUCUGAACCGGUCUUGAUAGAUUUGCAUCUGGGCAAGAACUUAUUUAAUUUGAUGGAUUAGUGGAUGGAUUCAAGUUGUCUUCCCAGCAACACGGUGACCGAUUAGUUAAUCAAUUAGAUUAUUUUAGUGCCUGUCAUGCAUGCAUUAGAUUGAUGAUGAAGCCUGGCUGUGUUAUACAGUAUCAGGUGCAGAUAAACAUAUGACCAUGUCUUCUCUCUAUGUAACGUACGUAUACUUGGCCUCUUUACUCCUUUAGUAACUUUGUUCCAUAUGGCCCUUUUAAUUUGUCAAUGAUCUCCGCGUAUUAAGCAUGCAUGUGUGUUACAUCAAUAUAAUAAGGUCUGAUUUUUCAAGAGCUAGCACACAUGCAUGCUAAUUAAAAAGGAUAUCGGUAAUUGCUGAAUCGAUCAACAUGCUCCCCGUUGCCCUGAGACAGUUUCAACUAAUUUGUAGUUUUGAUUAUUUCAGUUCAAAGCUCUAUCACCGGCUGAUCGAUCGAUCGAUCACAUCGGCCGGCGGCUCGUCAUUCUCCUGGUCGAUCAGCUGGAUACCCAAACAGGGUUAGAUAAAGAAAUAGUUCCAAUAAUGGAAAUAUUUGUCCUUUUCGCGCGCACUAUAUUAUAAUUCAUCCGUUCUAAAAACAUUAUAGUAGUAGUUUUAACUGGUAAAAAGAGAUUAGUAAAACUAUUAUGCCCUUUCUUUCUGUUAAUUAGCCCGAUCGAACUCGAUCUCUUCCUUCCUCUUCAGCAUGUGCUGGAGCAGAGUUGUUAACUUGAUAUAUACUAGAAAAAUUGCUCGUGCGUUGUAACGGGUAAAGUUUAUUUUAAUCUUAUUACUAUUAUAUGAUUUAGUUAAGAUGAAAUUCACUGUAGCAGUUCGCUUGGAUAUAUAUAUAUAUAUAUAUAUAUAUAUAUAUAGAAAAUCAUGAGCUGCAGUUAGACGUCCGAUCGUCUCAAGUUAGUAUGCGAGUUUUUUUUAAACAGAUUUCUUAUAUGGUUUCUUCUGUAUUUCUAAAAGUGAACGAUCUUAAAAACCAAUUCAAAUACGAAUAUUUAUUUUCAAAAGCAAACGAACUUAAAAACCAACUCAUACACGGAUGAUAUAACAAAAUACCGGCAAAAACAUAUUCAAUUUUUAUAAUAAUAGAGAUAUGAUGGAUAUAUGACCAAUUGAAUUACGUGUAGUAUAUGUACUUUUAUCAAAAUUGCUUAUUAUUGUACUCUUUCAUACGAGCAGAAACCAAAUCUUCUAAUUUUUUUUACUACAACUUAAUUAGUGUCAGAGGCAUGAGUUUAAGCAAUGCCAGCGACGAGAACGGGCGAUGGUGAAUUGUUAGAUUUUUCUUUUUUUCUGUAUUUGGAAAUUUUAAUUAUGAUUUGUCAGACAUGAUGAUACGUGAAACACAAUUGUUUCCUGAUUCAUUAUAAUAUGUUUAUCAUACUUUUAGAUUUGCUAGUUAUAAAAAAAUCAAACAAAAAUUCAUUUGUAGAUAAUUUGUUUGAAUUUAUUUUGUUGGUUUUGUCAGUAACUAACGGUUAUAUAUAAAUGAAUUUGGUUCACAUCUAAAAACAAAUUUUAUAUGUUUUUGAAGCGUUCAAAUUUUCAUGAUAAUCACAAGAAUUGAAAAAGAAUAGAUUAAUUUGGAUGAGUACUAUGAUCAUGUGAGCUACAUAACAAAUAUAAGUAUUGAACGAGGGAAAUGCAUCCCUACUAUAAUAUGAUUUUAAUUAUCCAUCUUUAUGAGUGUUAAAAAAUACCCAAGAAAUCAACUAUAUUAAAUUAAUACCCCAGACCAUACAUAAUGUAACAUAUAUAUGUGCGUACUGUUAUACAUUAUUCGUAAAAAGAAUUGUAUAAAUAUCGAGUUUAGGAUUACAUGAAGUAUAUAGCCUUUGGCUAAUAUAAUAAUCAACAAAUCCUUUUUAUACCAAUCACUAAUUCUGAACCUUAUCAAGCAUCAAUAAUUUAGUUAUGGUUGUUCUCCCAGAACUGAGCUUGGAGCCAAUCCAUGGCUUUUUUGUCCACUUGAAAUGCCUUAGCAAGAACAUCAUCUGAAAUUGGUGGAUGUGAUCCAAAUACUGCAUUAGCAAUGGUAAUUGCCCCAGGAUUUUGGCUGCUAAGUGCAGCAAUGGCAACUGCAGGCUUAUCAUAGCUUGGAUUAAACUGAAAGUGAAUAAGACCCUGUGGGAACACGAAGACAUCACCCUUGUUAAGUGUUUUGGUGAAGAGCUUGUUUUCUCUGUUUGCUUGGUUAGAUGUAACAAAACCAACAUAGAGUGAGCCCUCAAGAACGGUUAGGAUCUCAGUAGCACGAGGGUGCGUGUGUGGUGGGUUUUGUCCUUUGGGAGCAUAGUCGAUCCUUGCCAUGGAGAUGCUAAGGGUGUUGAGACCUGCGAGUUUCAUCACGUUGAUCAAUGUAACAUUGGAUCCAGCCUUGCUCUUGGUUGUGUCCAUCGGCUUGUCAAGGUUAGCUGCUAGGAAGAAGUCAUCAACACUCACAUCCUUUGCAUCCUUGCAGGGUAACCCAUUGACACGUACUGCAUUGAAGAACAUACAAUGGUCAGAUCGGAAGCUAGAAACAUGUAUAUGUACAACAUGAAUGUGUAAUCAAUUUGAUGCAAUUGCAUGAUCAGUGAUAAAAUAAUAUAUCUGGCGAGUGCUUGUCGGCAACACAAAAGUCCUGAAGAGGACUAGGAUCAGAAGCCAUGGCCUGAGUAGCGACCAAAGCAAUGAAAGCUGUGAGAAGAAAGAAGUUGGAGGCGGCCAUGUUUAAGUUGAUGGAACUUUUGCUCUUG
rnacentral:lncRNA from 1 species